rnacentral:misc_RNA from 1 species
AAGUCGUAAUGACCCUCCCCUCGGUCGGGGGAUUCUUCUGAGAAACAUUUCUUUUACAUUACCACCGUGGAAAACUAAACCUUUCCUAAACCGCGCUCGGGGCCCUGAGAAGCUCCAGAGUCGGAAACCCCGAACAACUGUUAACAAUGGAUAUCUUGGCUCUC